AAAACUCAAAGGGCAUGGCGGUGUUUUAGACCACUCAGGGGAACCUGUCUCAUAAUCGAUGAUCCACGUUAAACCUGACCUUUUUUUGCAUUCAGCUUGUAUACCGUCGUCGUCAGGUAACUUCUAAAAAACUAAAAGUUAGCGAAAGAAUUUAUAAAUUAUAAUGUCAGAUCAGGGUGCAGCUUAUAAAAAGGGGAGGAUGGGUUACAAUUAUGAAUCUUAAUUACGGAAGACCGUUAGAAUUAACUGAUCUGAAGGAGGACUU
rnacentral:rRNA from 1 species